CCUACGGGUGACAGCAGUGGGGAAUUUUGCACAAUGGGGGAAACCCUGAUGCAGCGACGCCGCGUGAAGGAAGAAGUAUUUCGGUUUGUAAACUUCUAUCAGCAGGGAAGAAAAUGACGGUACCUGACUAAGAAGCCCCGGCUAACUACGUGCCAGCAGCCGCGGUAAUACGUAGGGGGCAAGCGUUAGCCGGAUUUACUGGGUGGAAAGGGAGCGGAGGCGGUUUAGCAAGUCAGAAGUGAAAGCCCGGGGCUCAACUCCGGGACUGCUUUUGAAACUGUUGAACUAGAGUGCAGGAGAGGUAAGUGGAAUUCCUAGUGUAGCGGUGAAAUGCGUAGAUAUGAGGAAGAACACCAGUGGCGAAGGCGGCUUACUGGACUGUAAAUGACGCUGAGGCUCGAAAGCGUGGGGAGCAAACAGGAUUAGAUACCCGUGUAGUC
rnacentral:rRNA from 1 species